rnacentral:rRNA from 2 species
GGAGUCUAGCAUGUGCGCGAGUCAUUGGGACCGUGCGAAACCUAAAGGCGAAAUGAAAGUGAAGGUUUGCCUAGCGCGAACCGAGGGAGGAUGGGCCGCGCACGUCGCGGUCCCGCACUCCCGGGGCGUUUCGUUCUCAUCGCGAGAAGAGGCGCACCCAGAGCGUACACGCUGGGACCCGAAAGAUGGUGAACUAUGCCUGGUCAGGACGAAGUCAGGGGAAACCCUGAUGGAGGUCCGUAGCGAUUCUGACGUGCAAAUCGAUCGUCGGAACUGGGUAUAGGGGCGAAAGACUAAUCGAACCAUCUAGUAGCUGGUUCCCUCCGAAGUUUCCCUCAGGAUAGCUGGCGCUCGCUUUGCGAGUCUCUUCCGGUAAAGCGAAUGAUUAGAGGCAUUGGGGUCGAAACGGCCUCAACCUAUUCUCAAACUUUAAAUGGGUGAGAACUCCGGCUUGCUUGAACGUUGAAGCCGCGAGUUACGAUCUGAUAAAAGGAUCAGGGUGCCAAGUGGGCCACUUUUGGUAAGCAGAACUGGCGCUGUGGGAUGAACCAAACGCAGAGUUAAAGCGCCCAAAUCGACGCUUAUGGGAUACCAUGAAAGGCGUUGGUAACUUAAGACAGCAGGACGGUGGCCAUGGAA